UACGUAGGGCGCAAGCGUUGUCCGGAUUUAUUGGGCGUAAAGAGCUCGUAGGCGGUCCGUCACGUCGGCUGUGAAAACCCGAGGCUCAACCUCGGGCCUGCAGUCGAUACGGGCAGACUAGAGUGCGGUAGGGGAGACUGGAAUUCCUGGUGUAGCGGUGAAAUGCGCAGAUAUCAGGAGGAACACCUGCGGCGAAGGCGGGUUGCUGGGCCGACACUGACGCUGACAGCGCGAAAGCUAGGGGAGCGAACGGG
rnacentral:rRNA from 1 species